UAAACGGCCCUUUUCAGGGCCAACAACAAUUUCAAACGUUGAUGCU
rfam:Solenopsis invicta Si_gnG.contig02714, whole genome shotgun sequence.